rnacentral:rRNA from 1 species
AUGAAAGGAGGCAAGGCGAUGGGCCCUGAUUGUAUCCCCAUUGAGGUGUGGAAAGGUCUCGGGGACAUAGCGAUAGUGUGGCUAACCAAGCUUUUCAACCUCAUUUUUUGGGCAAACAAGAUGCCAGAAGAAUGGAGAUGGAGUAUAUUAGUACCAAUCUUCAAGAACAAGGGGGAUGUUCAGAGUUGUACUAAUUACCAUGGAAUUAAGCUGAUGAGCCAUACAAUGAAGCUAUGGGAGAUAGUCAUUGAGCACCGCUUAAGAAGAAUGACAAGCGUGACCAAAAAUCAGUUUGCUUUCAUGCCUGGGAGGUCGACCAUGGAAGCCAUUUUGUUGGUACGACAACUUAUGGAGAGAUAUAGGGAGCAAAAGAAGGACCUGCAUAUGAUGUUCAUUGACUUGGAGAAGGCCCAUGAUAAGAUACCGCAGAAUGUCAUGUGGUGGGCCUUGGAGAAACACAAAGUCCCAGCAAAGUACAUUACCUUCAUCAAGGACAUGUACGAUAAUGUUGUGACAAGUGUUCGAACAAGUGAUGUCGACACUGAUGACUUCCCGAUUAAGAUAGGACUGCAUCAGGGGUUAGCUUUGAGCCCUUAUCUUUUUGCAUUGGUGAUGGAUGAGGUCACAAGGGAUAUACAAGGAGAUAUCCCAUGGUGUAUGCUCUUUGCAGAUGAUGUGGUGUUAGUUGACGAUAGUCGGAUGAGAGUAAAUAGGAAGUUAGAGUUAUGGAGACAAACCUUGGAAUCGAAAGGGUUUAGGCUUAGUAGAACUAAAACCGAGUACAUGAUGUGCGGUUUCAGUAUUACUAUGUGUGAGGAGGAGAAGGUUAGCCUUGAUGGCCAGGUGGUACCUCAGAAGGACACCUUUCGAUAUUUGAGAUCAAUGUUGCGGGAUGAUGGGGGUAUUGAUGAAGAUGUGAACCAUCGAAUCAAAGCCGGAUGGAUGAAGUGGCGCCAAGCUUCUGGCAUUCUCUGUGACAAGAAAGUGCCACAAAAGCUAAAAGGCAAGUUCUAG